rnacentral:rRNA from 1 species
GACGGAGGAUGCAAGUGUUAUCCGGAAUCACUGGGCGUAAAGCGUCUGUAGGUAGUUUAAUAAGUCAACUGUUAAAUCUUGAGGCUCAACCUCAAAAUCGCAGUCGAAACUAUUAGGCUAGAGUAUAGUAGGGGUAAAGGGAAUUUCCAGUGGAGCGGUGAAAUGCGUAGAGAUUGGAAAGAACACCGAUGGCGAAGGCACUUUACUGGGCUAUUACUAACACUCAGAGACGAAAGCUAGGGUAGCAAACGGG